GAAUAGUGGCUGCCCUAGCUCCCCCCUUGCCAUGGCUAAGGGCAAUAUGGGUGGAGUUGCUCUAAAGGCACGGAUAACUUCAAAACCAUGCCUAAAAGCCCUCCGCCGUGCCAUUGUACCAAGUACCAAUUAAAAACUUAUACGUAUACAUCAUCGUCUACACCCUUCCUUCUUUCUUUUACACCCCUCAGAUUUUAGGUUUUGUUUUUUUUUGUUUUUUUUUUUCAGGCAAGUAGAGCUCUCGCUCUCAACUCUUGAACUACCUCCUCCUCCUCCUCCCUCCCUCCUCUCUCAACCUCUCUAUCUCACUCAGAUCCUCCGUUCUCUCGGAUCGUUUGUGGUGGCUUCACAGGUUUCAAUUUUUUUGAUAACCUUUAUGACGAUGCCAAUUGGUCUUCGGCAAUUGACACGUCGCUUCUCCAUCUUAUUCGUUAAUAUAUUCUCACACCGCAGUCUUCCCUCAGCCCUCUCUCUCAACCUCUCAGUCCCGUUAAUUGCCUCUUGCACAACCCACCGAAACCCAGACGAAAAACCCCCAAAUUUUACCCAUAAACCAAACUCAGACCGCUGCCUCCUCCAGCUCAAAGGCGAAAGGUGCGAAAUCCCUAGUUGUUUGGACUCAGGGUUCCAUUUGACAGCGCACUCGCACUAGCCCCAAUUUCUUUAUAAUUAGGGAGUCUGUGAAUCAUUUUGCAUUUCAAGGAUUGAGGCAGGUUUUGCAACAAAUUUUUUGGUACGAAGAUGCAUCUUUGAGCCUGAAAAUGCAAAUAUGUUGACCAAAACCAAUGAAUAAGAGGGAUUCGCAUACUAGGCAGGAGUAUUAGCUGCAGCAUUGUGAUUAAAUGUCAUCUUCUGCUUUCCUCGAAUUUUACUAAUUCAGACUCUUAGAUUCUCCUCAUUUUUGAGGAAUGGAAAAAGGCUUGAAGAUGAGCUGCCCCUUGAAGCAAAUGGAGACUACACCAAGUCAAGGAGGAGGAGCUUAAUUAAUGGUAUUUUUCUCUAACAACAGAUGACUUGGAGAUAGUCUAGAGUCCUGAAUCUUUGCAUCAUGAGGAGGAUAUGGUUCAGUGGACAGAAAGUUAAGGCCAUGGGCUGAAGCUUUAUAGGCUGUUCUGUUUGAAAACCACAGCUAGAUGUCAGGAAGACGACUGCAUAAAAUCAAGCAAGUUGGGAGACCUGGUGCUAAAAGAUUGUCUGUUCUUGCAGAAUUCUUACCAGGAGGAAAGCCAAUACUCAGUUGAGUGGCAAAUCCAGUUAAGCAAGGAGAAACUCAAUGGCUAAUCAAGUCAAGCAAUGAGGAGCUGAAUGGCAGUUAAUGGUGAAUAGCACGGUGGAGCUUAAUGAAAUUCCGUAUUUUUUUUCUUUUCCAGGUAAAUUUUUGGUUUUUAAUAUCAUAACUGUAAUAUUCUUGUUAAAAAGGUUGACCACUUGCAAUACUUGGUCUAUUUUCAGUAUGAAAAUAUUAAUGUAAUAGUCCUGAGGAUAGGUCCACCACUUGCAACA